rnacentral:rRNA from 1 species
GACGAACGCUGGCGGCGUGCUUAACACAUGCCAGUCGAACGGAAAGGCCCUGCUUUUGUGGGCUGCUCGAGUGGCGAACGGGUGAGUAACACGUGAGUAACCUGCCCUUGACUUUGGGAUAACUUCAGGAAACUGGGGCUAAUACCGGAUAGGAGCUCCUGCUGCAUGGUGGGGGUUGGAAAGUUGCGGCGGUUGGGGAUGGACUGGCGGCUUAUCAGCUUGUUGGUGGGCGAGUGGCUGACCAAGGCUGUGACGGGUCGCCGACCUGGGAGGGUGGACGGCCACAAUGGGACUGAGAUAGGGCGCAGACUCCUACGUGAGGCAGCAGUGGGGAAUCUGGCACAAUGAGCGGAAGCCUGAGGCAGCAACGCCGCGGUCGGGAUGACGGCCUUUUGGUUGUAAACCGCUUUCGCUUGUUACGAAGCGGGAGUGACGGUAAUGAGUAAAGAAGCACCGGCUAACUACGUG